ensembl:rRNA 5S_rRNA 5S ribosomal RNA
GUCUACAACCAUACCACCCUGAACACUCCCUGUCUCGGCUGAACUCAGAAGCUAAGCAGGGUCGGGCCUGGUUAGUACUUGGAUGGGCGAUUACAUAAGUAGCAUAUUAAUAUCUGAGCCU